rnacentral:rRNA from 1 species
GACGAACGCUGGCGGCGUGCUUAACACAUGCAAGUCGAACGGAAAGGCCCCUUUGGGGGUACUCGAGUGGCGAACGGGUGAGUAACACGUGAGUAACCUGCCCUUGACUUCGGGAUAACUUCAGGAAACUGGGGCUAAUACCGGAUAGGAAUCCUUGCUGCAUGGUGGGGGUUGGAAAGCUUCGGCGGUUUUGGAUGGACUCGCGGCUUAUCAGCUUGGUGGUGGGGUAGUGGCUUAACAAGGCUUUGACGGGUAGCCGGCCUGAGAGGGCGACCGGCCACAUUGGGACUGAGAUACGGCCCAGACUCCUACGGGAGGCAGCAGUGGGGAAGAUUGCACAAUGGGCGGAAGCCUGAUGCAGCAACGCCGCGUGCGGGAUGACGGCCUUCGGGUUGUAAACCGCUUUCAGCAGGGGCGAAGCUUGUGGUGACGGUACCUGCAGAAGAAGCACCGGCUAACUACGUG